UGGGGGAGAUUUUAGCUGUCUUUGUGGGAGGUUUAUAAAAGCCAGGAGGAAGUGAUCCUUUUGGCAAAAUUUUGGAAACGUAUUCCUUCAAGCUCUAGUCCACGACUCUGGAAUAUGUCUCUAUAACCUAAAUAGGAAGAAGAGCCCCAUAUUGAAAAUUCUGUGAAUAUUUAAACAAAUUUAUUACGGUAAAAGACACAUUGCCCUUAAUCUUUCUUAAGUGCUUUGAACACACUAACCCAUUGUUCUCCGAAGCAGUUCUGGAGUCCGCCUUCGUGUCUGCAGUUGUGCUGUGCUGACUGCCUCAGCGUCAUGGAGCAAUUCAGAUUGUUUACUGUUUAUGGUCAUUUUGACUUUGGGGAAGAGCUCGAAGUUGCAUGGUACCAGGUCCAGUGAAUAAGGCAGGAUCUUCACUGCAUGGACAAGAGCAGAUCUACAACACCAUUAAUACCACCCCCAUUUCUACUGUCUUUCCUCUAUGUAGGCUGAAGAAGGAAGCUAUAUGUUUCAAACAGUUGAAAAUAUGUGUCAUUUUGUGGAUCAAAAAUCAAAACGAGGGCACAGGAAUGGGGAAAAAAUAAGAACCAA
rnacentral:lncRNA from 1 species